GUGACACAGCGCAAGACCAAGUCAUAAAGGCCUUUGCUGCGAUGGUGGGGACCUGGCUGGACCAGGUCCAGGGUUUGGGACAGCCCCUUCCUAUCGCCUGUUUCGAGGCAGAGCAGGCCUUGGUGCCCGUCAACUCCCCUGCCUCACACCUGGUGGGCCAGGCCCAAAGUCAAUGGUUGGAGCUGCAGCAUCUGGAGCCCACCGAGGCAACUCCACAAGGUCCACGCCCUGAGCUCCAGAGCUCUCCCGAGACAGAGAAAGGGC